CAGGACGAACGCUGGCGGCGUGCUUAACACAUGCAAGUCGAACGGAAAGACCCUGCUUUUGUGGGGUGCUCGAGUGGCGAACGGGUGAGUAACACGUGAGUAACCUGCCCUUGACUUUGGGAUAACUUCAGGAAACUGGGGCUAAUACCGGAUAGGAGCUCCUGCUGCAUGGUGGGGGUUGGAAAGUUUCGGCGGUUGGGGAUGGACUCGCGGCUUAUCAGCUUGUUGGUGGGGUAGUGGCUUACCAAGGCUUUGGCGGGUAGCCGGCCUGAGAGGGUGACCGGCCACAUUGGGACUGAGAUACGGCCCAGACUCCUACGGGAGGCAGCAGUGGGGAAUAUUGCACAAUGGGCGGAAGCCUGAUGCAGCAACGCCGCGUGCGGGAUGACGGCCUUCGGGUUGUAAACCGCUUUCGCCUGUGACGAAGCGUGAGUGACGGUAAUGGGUAAAGAAGCACCGGCUAACUACGUGCCAGCAGCCGCGGUGAUACGUAGGGUGCGAGCGUUGUCCGGAUUUAUUGGGCGUAAAGGGCUCGUAGGUGGUUGAUCGCGUCGGAAGUGUAAUCUUGGGGCUUAACCCUGAGCGUGCUUUCGAUACGGGUUGACUUGAGGAAGGUAGGGGAGAAUGGAAUUCCUGGUGGAGCGGUGGAAUGCGCAGAUAUCAGGAGGAACACCAGUGGCGAAGGCGGUUCUCUGGGCCUUUCCUGACGCUGAGGAGCGAAAGCGUGGGGAGCGAACAGGCUUAGAUACCCUGGUAGUCCACGCUGUAAACGGUGGGUACUAGGUGUGGGGUCCAUUCCACGGGUUCCGUGCCGUAGCUAACGCUUUAAGUACCCCGCCUGGGGAGUACGGCCGCAAGGCUAAAACUCAAAGGAAUUGACGGGGCCCCGCACAAGCGGCGGAGCAUGCGGAUUAAUUCGAUGCAACGCGUAGAACCUUACCUGGGUUUGACAUGGAUCGGGAGUGCUCAGAGAUGGGUGUGCCUCUUUUGGGGUCGGUUCACAGGUGGUGCAUGCCUGUCGUCAGCUCGUGUCGUGAGAUGUUGGGUUAAGUCCCACAACGAGCGCAACCCUUGUUCACUGUUGCCAGCACGUUAUGGUGGGGACUCAGUGGAGACCGCCGGGGUCAACUCGGAGGAAGGUGGGGAUGACGUCAAGUCCUCAUGCCCCUUAUGUCCAGGGCUUCACGCAUGCUACAAUGGCUGGUACAGAGAGUGGCGAGCCUGUGAGGGUGAGCGAAUCUCGGAAAGCCGGUCUCAGUUCGGAUUGGGGUCUGCAACUCGACCUCAUGAAGUCGGAGUCGCUAGUAAUCGCAGAUCAGCAACGCUGCGGUGAAUACGUUCCCGGGGCUUGUACACACCGCCCGUCAAGUCAUGAAAGUUGGUAACACCCGAAGCCGGUGGCCUAACCGUUGUGGGGGAGCCGUCGAAGGUGGGACUGGUG
rnacentral:rRNA from 1 species